rnacentral:rRNA from 1 species
AGAAUACUGGAGGUAGAGCACUGUUUGGACUAGGGGGGCAUCUCGCUUUACCGAAUUCAGACAAACUCCGAAUGCCAGAUAUUUAUACACGGGAGUCAGACUGCGAGUGAUAAGAUCCGUAGUCAAAAGGGAAACAGCCCAGACCACCAGCUAAGGUCCCAAAGUAAUCGUUAAGUGGAAAAGGAUGUGGCGUUGCUUAGACAACCAGGAUGUUGGCUUAGAAGCAGCCAUCAUUUAAAGAGUGCGUAAUAGCUCACUGGUCGAGUGACGCUGCGCCGAAAAUGUAUCGGGGCUAAACGAUUCACCGAAGCUGUGGAUGGACAUCUUAGAUGUCCGUGGUAGGAGAGCGUUCUAAGUGCGUUGAAGUCAGACCGGAAGGACUGGUGGAGCGCUUAGAAGUGAGAAUGCCGGUAUGAGUAGCGAAAGAUGGGUGAGAAUCCCAUCCACCGUAUGACUAAGGUUUCCUGAGGAAGGCUCGUCCGCUCAGGGUUAGUCGGGACCUAAGUCGAGGCCGAUAGGCGUAGACGAUGGACAACAGGUUGAUAUUCCUGUACCACCUCCCCGCCGUUUGAGUAAUGGGGGGACGCAGUAGGAUAAGAUAAGCGUACCGUUGGUUGAGUACGCCCAAGCAGUAAGGCGUGGAAGUAGGCAAAUCCGCUUCCUGUAACGUUGAGCUGUGAUGGGGAGC